GACGUAGGAGGCGAGCGUUGUCCGGAUUCAUUGGGCGUAAAGAGCGCGCAGGCGGCUUGGUAAGUCGGAUGUGAAAACCCGAGGCUCAACCUCGGGCGUGCAUCCGAAACUGCUCGGCUAGAGGUAGGUAGGGGAGAUCGGAAUUCCUGGUGUAGCGGUGAAAUGCGCAGAUAUCAGGAGGAACACCGGUGGCGAAGGCAGGUCUCUGGGCAUUAACUGACGCUGAGGAGCGAAAGCAUGGGGAGCGAACAGG
rnacentral:rRNA from 1 species